rnacentral:rRNA from 1 species
CCCUUAGAGUUUGAUCCUGGCUCAGAUUGAACGCUGGCGGCAGGCCUAACACAUGCAAGUCGAGCGGUAGCACAGAGAGCUUGCUCUCGGGUGACGGGCGGCGGACGGGUGAGUAAUGUCUGGGAAACUGCCUGAUGGAGGGGGAUAACUACUGGAAACGGUAGCUAAUACCGCAUAAUGUCGCAAGACCAAAGUGGGGGACCUUCGGGCCUCAUGCCAUCAGAUGUGCCCAGAUGGGAUUAGCUAGUAGGUGGGGUAACGGCUCACCUAGGCGACGAUCCCUAGCUGGUCUGAGAGGAUGACCAGCCACACUGGAACUGAGACACGGUCCAGACUCCUACGGGAGGCAGCAGUGGGGAAUAUUGCACAAUGGGCGCAAGCCUGAUGCAGCCAUGCCGCGUGUGUGAAGAAGGCCUUCGGGUUGUAAAGCACUUUCAGCGGGGAGGAAGGCGAUAAGGUUAAUAACCUGUCGA